CCGUUUCCGGAUUGAAGUUAWYGYGAAGAACCUUACCAUCCUUUGACAUGGCGUGUUACCCAGAGAGAUUUGGGGUCCACUUCGGUGGCGCGCACACAGGUGCUGCAUGGCUGUCGUCAGCUCGUGUCGUGAGAUGUUGGGUUAAGUCCCGCAACGAGCGCAACCCACGUCCUUAGUUGCCAUCAUUCAGUUGGGCACUCUAGGGAGACUGCCGGUGAUAAGCCGCGAGGAAGGUGUGGAUGACGUCAAGUCCUCAUGGCCCUUACGGGAUGGGCUACACACGUGCUACAAUGGCGGUGACAGUGGGACGCGAAGGAGCGAUCUGGAG
rnacentral:rRNA from 1 species